AGAUAAAUCUCACUGAGUCAGAAAAGCAAAUACACACAGCCCCCAUUGUCGGUGGAGUGAAUCCAGUAUAUACAUUGUGAUCACAUUACAGAUUACACUUUAGCAUUCUUGUUUAGAGAUCUGGGAAACAGUAUAUACACAGGAAUUGACCUAGCGCACAGGGGCAAUAUACUUUGAUGUUUUCUCUUCCUCAAGUUUUCGAGAGCCGCCCUAAUCUAUCACAGGGAGUGACACUCAAGCACAAAAAACUGGCAAAAUCAGCCAACUGCAUCUGUAACCACUCUGAGAGCGGUGAUUGGCUUCUUGUUCUUGACGUCACCGACGGGUGGAGACCUUAGUAACAAAUUGUCUGAGACCAGAACACUGUCAGUUCUGGCCAGACCGGUACUUUAGCUCCCCAACUCAUAAAAUCUCACUUCCCUAUAAAAGCGAGCAGCCUCGAGCACUAUUUCUUCCCUAGGAAACAUAUUCCCUUAAUGUGGUCGGGUUAAUGGCAAAUGAAUAAUCAUAACACACCAAUGGCAGACGGGGGUGUCAUUGAUCUGUCUGGAGUCAGCCCCUCUCCGCCUGCUGCAUCAGCCACUCUCCUCCUAUUGAUACGCUCUUGCCCCUUGACCCCUGGGACAGAUCAAUGCCAUUGAUUGGAGAAGGGCAGGGACAAGGGCAGGAUCUGCUGACUGGCCCGACAGCUAGUGUGACAAGACAUGAUCGUCAUUAAUGUCCCGCUGGCUGGCUGGCUGGCUGGCUGGCUGGCGAGGCGCUGUGCAUCACAUAUUCCCUGCGUCCUGCCCCCCUCCCACCAGCACCGCCAACCCUCCUUCUCCACUCUCCUCCUUCACCCCUCCCGCUUCUACUGCUCCAUGUUCCCAUUCUGUGCGGCUUGCACUGACUGAGAUAAGUCCAUUGUUUGGAUACCUGUCUGAUGCUUGCCUGGCAUCUGUGGCACAGAUAUGAAUCUCCAGGCUGCGUGGAGAUAUUUUGAGCUUAUUGUAGAAAAACCAACGGUGUCAUUACAACUGUCUGCUGCAUAAUGUUUCUUAGCUCUUUCUGCCUGCUACUUAACGAUCACAAUGGAGCCGGUCCUAUUUUUGGGAGCUUUGAAAAGCUUUUUCUCUGCACAAUUCAAAGAGAGUGAAUUAGAAUCUGCUUCAACUCUGUCACAACAACUUGGAUCUGUAUUCUCUGAUCAGUGGCAAAUCCCACCCUAAUAAGAUACCUAUGUGCCCUGAUUCCCACCACUUCUCUGAAAAUGUGUCAUUGGUACAUAACAGCGACAGGAUUGUUUAUCUGCCGUUGUAUGCGGUUUGCUCUUGUGGACCAAUUUCAUCACGCCACUGGGUUCUAUUUCCAGUCUAGACUAGAAACGAAGCAAGCAACGUCUCUGUGUGUGUGUGUGUGUACAGGGAGGGGUGCUGGGCGGGAUGCGGUGACAGCUCCAGACUCUGCAGUGACAUGGCUGUAAUGGAGCUGAUUGAUCACCUAUAUGGCCGCCUGCUGGCCCCGCUGGCUUUAACAUACAGAACGUUCCCAACCCCCCGUCUCUGCGUCACAGCCGCCAUCACUAAGCCAAUCUGAGAAGACCAACCAUCCCCCAUAGACUUCAACCUGGCCACGGUUUUGACAUUGGCUGCAGGAUUUACUUCUAUACCUCUUGGGCUCUUAGCUCUCGCCCUGCUUCUGUAUGUUUCUGUAGGAUGGAAAGGUAGUGGCGCAUUCACUGUCUCUGAUGAAGUGACAGUUUCUAUUUCAGCCUUUGCUGUUUUGCAGCAGAGUUAAAAAAAAAACUGCUGUUAUCCAUUUGAAUUAAAGGGCAUUAUCAAUCAAUGAUAACAUUUGCAGAUCUCUUUCCCUGCCCCCUCUAUGUCACACAGGGUCAUAACCCUAAUCUAUCCAGGGUGUUGAAGGUGAUUAAACUCUGAGAUUGGAGCAAGCUGUCAAGGGCAGAUUUCAUUCAGACAGAAGGAGAAUGAGAAAAUUGUCUGCUUUAUAUUUUAUUCUACCGCCUUGACCCACACUUUCAUAGCAUUCUUGAUUAAAUAUCCUAUACUACAAAAAUAACAACAGUUGCAUAAUUUACAUGAAGUAUCCAUUAGUGAAGCAUUUGUUAAACAUUAAAAGCUCAUAAUGGUACUUCUGCUGGGGAUGUCCAUCUGAAACUCAAGUUUAAACAGUUUGACUUUUAAUUGUGUUUACAGAGUUCAAAUGCAUAUUAUAUUAAAGAGCUAUAUAUCUACAUCUAACUAUAUGACAUGUUUUUAUCUGUAAAGCCCAUUGGUGUGUCUCUAUGGUACUACGCUUGCAGAGACAAAUGUGGAAUAUAUCAGUUUACAUGUAGAUAAUUGAGUGGAAAAUACAGUGUGCAUAUACAUCUACAAAUGUGAAACCAUACAACCAUAAUUAAAAAAAUUCAUUGCUUGACAAGCAGUAACUGUAAGACCAGUUUCCAGUGAUGGAGGAAUUCGACAUUAUAUUAGCCACUGCUUUCCCUUCUGACGCGGGGAGUCGUGUGCCUUACGCUGCCACUCGCUUCUUUCAAGUCUCAGUCACAAUAUUGUGACAGUGACUGUUUGUGUUCAUGCUUGUGCUGACCACAUCGCUGUCUGCGUGACACUUUGUGUGUGUGUGUGUUAGCUGAGCCGAGCCGCUAUAGUGUCACUCUGUGUCCUAUGUCUUGUCUCUCCAUUCAAGCCGUGUUGGCUGUCACUGUCUUUUUUUUUUGGGGGGGGUCUUGUUAGUUUGUUUGCUGUUGCCUGUGCACGAGCUGCUAGUUGUCUGCACGAGGGUCCCUAUUUAUGUGUCGUCUGUCUCAGAUGACAGAUGUUUGUUCUCAGUUUUGUAUCAGCUGCUUUAUCUGUUGAUUAGUGUUUUUCUGUUUGUAUUUGCAUAAAAGAGUGCAAACUGCAUUCAUGUUACGGUCCAUGUUGCAAGACAGUAGGAUUGCUACAAUGCAUCUUCCUCCAUGGCCAACCAGUUCGCUGCAGAGUGUGUGUGUGUGUGUGUGUGUGUGUCUGUGCGCUGCUGGAAAAAAGAAGAAAUUGAUCAGCACAGGGAGGAACGUGUUCACCAGCAAAGGCUGGAUGGAGGGUGUGAGAGAGAGAGAGAGAGAGGGGGAGAGAAAGCGCGAGGGCUGUCGCUGCAGACUCCUGCUGCAGUAUCUCACUUUGGGCAAGCAGCUGCAGACAGGGAGUAACAGACAAGCGAGACAAGCAGACAGGAGCCCUGGCAAUUGUCUGACUUUCCCCGCACUCAGAGGUAAGAAAAAUCACAACUUGCGAGGUAAGACAAAUCACAGCUCAUAUUUGCAAUACAACAACAAAAUCCAAAGCCUUAUUCUCUGGUCUUUUUCACUAUGAUCCAUUUUGUAACAGACAAGAGAAGGGAAUAGUGUUUGGGUGUAUGACUACCUUGUUUUGCUUGCGCACUUGCAGUAGACGAGUGAGUCAGUAAAAGUGUCAGACUGCCGUAACAGACGGCCUGCGCAAGAUAAUUAGCCUGGAGUCAUUUGGAAGCGGCUCCGCUCGGCCCAGGUGCCCACUGUGCACAGAAAGAGACCAGAUGACCUUUUACUCAGCUCCAUCCCUCUGCAGUCACUUAAAACAGUGAUGGAUGUUUCCCUUAACACCCUGCUCCCUAUCAGCCCUCGUUCUCCUUUUCCCUUCACCCUCCCUCUCUCUCAUCUCACCUUCUUUCCCCUCCUCUCCUCUUCUCUGCACUGCUCCAGCACCACUCUAGCCUUAUUUGUCCCCUCUCACCUCCUUGUUUUUCUACCAUCCUUUUACAGCCUCCCAUUGUCUGUGUUCUUCCAGAGUGAUGAGGAGGAAGAGGAAGAAGAAAGGUGGUGGUGGUGAAGGGGGGAUUGAAGUGAAGUGGAGGAGGCGUUUUCCUACCGGUGCAGAGCCGAGCAGAGUCAAGCUAUCCCUCAGCCCCCCCAUGCCACCCCCGCACCUCCUCAUUAGUAUGCAGCGGCUGUUGCUCAGGUGACAUGGCCGCUGGAUUCGGUCCCGACUGCAGGAACAUCAGCGGUGUGGCAGAGAGCGGGAUAGCAGGUAAGGACAAUGAGAACGGGAGGGAGGAAAGGAGGAGAGAGGUAGAGAAGCAGGCACGGGGGGAGGAUGGGAGAGGCAAGGAAUGGACACCCCCACACAUACACACGCUUACACACUUAACACUGCUGAAAUGGAUACACACAUAUAUUCAGGUUCAAGUCCAGCCUUCCUCCCAAAGCCAUACAGUUGAGGACAGUUCAAGUGUGUGUUUUAUUUAAUUAAAAUUAAACUAUUACUAUGUGCUGAGAUAUGCUAAUUGACUUACUGUAGUAAUUAAUAACUUGACUCAUGCAGUUUUAUUUGUGCUAAUAAAAUGCUCACAUUGAUUAAAUUUUUUCCCUGCAUUUUAUGUCUUAACAGAAAAUGUAAUAAUUAUAAAUGAUACAGUUUCUACUUUUCAUACUGUAAAUAGUGAUUUCAAUAAAUGUCUCUGUUGAA